rnacentral:lncRNA from 1 species
AUAGAAAUGCAUGUUGUUUAUUCUGUUUCCUUGUUCUUUUCGUUAUUUAUAUGUUCCGUACAAGCAGUCACUGAUUUGUUUGUUUGUGUUUUCUGGUUUGAUUGGGGAUAAACCGAGACACAUAAUGCUCAUUGGGUGUUUAGGUGGGAGGGAGGGGUGUUUGAAGUCCUUUCAUCAUUGAUGCCAGUUGAAUACAGAUGUAGAUAUCGUCUAUUUUUUUUUGGGACCAUAACGUAGUUUUACUGUUAUUUGCACUGCUUGCAGACACUGAAGCUGGCGAUCGGGACUUAUACAGAACAUAAGUCAUCUUGGGAGGGAUUGAUGAAGAGAGGCAUGGGAAGGGACUAUUCCUGGGAAAAUGCAGCC